GGAAAAAUACUGGGAGUAUUCACAUUUAAAUAUGGUUAGGUUGAAUCUAUUACAUCAUUACUCUCUGGUCCUCUCAAAGUUAGAGAUGCCCAGCUCAUACUGGGCGGCAACAGUGACAGACAGCAAUGUCAAGUUAGCAUGUAUCCAGGAUAAACCAUUACAAACUUAUGCACAAGUAUUUUUCAAAACAAAUGUUUUAUCUCAAAAAAUUUCAUAGUAUGCUAAAAGCUAAAAUGAGCAUGGAAGUGAAAGUCAGUACAAACAACCAGAACAUUAGCAGCACACAGUAUCAACAAACAAUUUUAUGGUCCAGUCCACAUAAUUACUUCAAGAGAAUUUGAAGGUAGAGAUACAUCAUGAACAAUAUGCAUGAGAAAAACUGAAAAUUUAACCUUACAUUAUAAGCGCACCCUUGAAGUUUCUGGACUAGAAAAUGGAGAAGACUCCCAACAAUUAUCUUCUUUCUCAAAGGAAUCUUCUUCUUGGAAUGCAAAUUUCUGCUUAAGUGCAUGGGAUAUUAGAGACACUGGAUCCCAAGGAAGCUACAGAAGAUGGAACACCCAGGACAUGGGUGAUGCAACACUUGACAAACAGAAUGCCUAUGAUGACAAAGGAAAUCCUUAGGAUAACAAUGCAACAAGUAAGAUUAGGGAAGGGCAGAGGGCUCCAAGAGGGUAUUUCCAGGGGUUUGGGGGGAAUUCAAAGAGGUAAUAGUUAACUGCAAUAAAAAAUAAAAUUAGUUAACAAAUAAAAUGUAAUUGUAUAUGAAAUAGCUUUCCUGUGAAUGUUUAUUAUAAUAAGGAUAUAAAUUCUGAACAUGGAUUUAAGACUGUGACUUAACCAUAAUGGAAAGAUGUGAUAAGAAGUGUAUGUGUGCAUGUGUGUUAGGAGGUAGACUGUCUAAGAGAAUGUAUUUCAGAUUUUUAACAAUUCCAGUAAAUAUAACUAAAAUACCAAAAAAUAGCAAAAGUAUAAUGUUGUCUCAAAAGUAUGAAGGUAAGACACUAGAAGAGUCACAAAAA
rnacentral:lncRNA from 1 species